UUGAUAUUCGAAGGAAUUCGGUGCUUUCUCAACGAUUUCUGGGACUCCAUCAUUUUCAGUGAUUUCGUUUCAGGCUGCGCAGAAAAGGAAGAAAUUCAAAAGCUAGGGUUGUAUAGUUGACCGUGUUUGUUCAACGACGACGAAGAAGAUGACAACCGGACUCUUCAAGUUCAUCCGCCCUGCCCUCCGUCCGCAAUCCACCGAUUUCCAGGCCGCCGCCGCCUGGGGCGUCGCUGCCGGCGCCACCGCCAUCUGGAUUGUCCAGCCAUUUGACUGGAUAAGGAAGACGUUUUUUGAGAAAGAGCAAGAAGCAAAGUGAUAGCAUUUUCAACAAUUUGGGAGCUUUUUGGUGUUGUUGCUGCUGCAAAGUAGCAAACUCUGAGCAGGAAUGAGUUGAAUAAUACUCCGUACAUUUUCAUUCUGUUGUUCUUGUUAGUACAAUGAUAAGGUUUUGUUGUUACCUCAGUUAACUUUUGGGAUAUUGAUUCUUCAAAUAAUUGGAUUUCAUUCUUCUUUUUUACCUCUUUA